rnacentral:lncRNA from 1 species
GCCCAAGGUUCAGCCCAGGAUUUUGAGAUGACAGCUAAUUGUCGCCACUGAUUGCUUUGCUGACAGUGCUUUGUGGCUAUUUUGGUUUUUCGUGAGAUUUCCUUAAUUAGAGGAAAUGACAUUGUGUACUAUCCAAUCAGCCUCCUGUUAGAUAUUACUACAUUUGUAGGAGAAUCAGGGGACAUUUGGAUUUGUUCCUGCCAUGCUGGAAUAAACUGCCAGGCCUGUGGUGUGUUCAGCUGGGCAGAAUGGUGGCUCAGAGGAAAAGUUUCUACAUUCUCAGUGUGGGCUGAAAGCACCAAAGACCCCAUCAGGAGCCGCUGUUCAAUCCUCUCAGCUCUGAUCUCCUUGGAAUCCCCACCCCCCACUAACGACAGUUAUAAAGUAAGUAUACAUUUUACAUUUUCUUCUCUAUCAGCUGUAAAUGGAAAUUUGGACUUUGUUCAAUGG